UUGCUGCUUGCAUCGAGAUCGAUCCUAUUUCUGCAGUAUUUACAGUGUUUUGACAGUCUUUAGCUCACUUAGCAGCAUGGAUAAGGGAGGGGUGCUAGUUGAGAGAACCAACAAUCCAAGAAAAAGGAAGCGAAAUGAAAAAUAAUGGGCCAAAAACUAGAACAACGAAGAUCAUAACACCGCUCCUGGGAAGCAGCCAGCCAUUGGAUGCCAGCACAUGCCUCACAGCUUUUGUAAGGCGUCUUUGCUGACAGAAGGAGACAUCACAGAUACUUUCCAGGACUGCUACAGAGACUCGAACAACCGCUGCAAGAUUCAUUCAUCAUGUGCCACUUACAACUCAAUCCAGUCAUGCACCAUCGAGGAAAUGGUCCACAACCAAGGAGAGAGCGGAACUAUGCCCCAACAUUUCAAAUUACGACACAGCAAGGGGAAAAUGUGGAGGUGUGCUCCGGAAGAUUCAGAUCCAUCUUUGUACUUGGUAGGAAACGUCUGGGCAACCUAAUGAAGUACGCCUGCCAUUCAAAAUCACAGAGGCCAAACGCAUCUACGUGAGACCAGCUCCAGCCCCAGUCACUUUCGCCAAGUAUUAUAGCGCACCUGGAGAUGAGUACACCAUAUUGAAGCGAUGAAAGAGAUGGAGUACUCUUCGGGUCAAUCAGCUCCCAUUGCAAAGCUGUGUGAAGCCAGCGAAGCAGCGGGAUGUAGCAAAUCUUCUACGAGCGAUGGGGGUGGAGCUACAAGUGGACCCGCUAGUAGGGUAUGGGCCAUUCAACUUCAUUCAGGAAGUAGGUGCCUUUUACAAAGAGGUGUGCGCGCCUUCUGAUGCAAUGGACGUAGAGAGUGAUGAGGACGAAGGCAUCAUUGCUGCCUAUGAAGAUUGACAUUUGAUUUUAUGCCUUUUACACAGUUAAUGGAUCAGUUUAAACUAUUUAAUUCAAGAACAGAGAAGGCUUC
rnacentral:lncRNA from 1 species